GACGAACGCUGGCGGCGUGCUUAACACAUGCAAGUCGAACGGUAAGGCUCCAGCUUGCUGGGGUACACGAGUGGCGAACGGGUGAGUAACACGUGGGUGACCUGCCCUGCACUUCGGGAUAAGCCUGGGAAACUGGGUCUAAUACCGGAUAGGACCGCACCGUGAGGGUGUGGUGGAAAGUUUUUUCGGUGUGGGAUGGGCCCGCGGCCUAUCAGCUUGUUGGUGGGGUAAUGGCCUACCAAGGCGGCGACGGGUAGCCGGCCUGAGAGGGUGGACGGCCACAUUGGGACUGAGACACGGCCCAGUCUCCUACGGGAGGCAGCAGUGGGGAAUAUUGCACAAUGGGCGGAAGCCUGAUGCAGCGACGCCGCGUGGGGGAUGACGGCCUUCGGGUUGUAAACUCCUUUCACCAUCGACGAAGGGUUUCUGACGGUAGAUGGAGAAGAAGCACCGGCUAACUACGUG
rnacentral:rRNA from 1 species